rnacentral:rRNA from 1 species
CCUACGUGAUGCAGCAGUGGGGAAUAUUGCACAAUGGGGGAAACCCUGAUGCAGCGACGCCGCGUGAGUGAAGAAGUAUUUAGGUACGUAAAGCUCUAUCAGCAGGGAAGAAAAUGACGGUACCUGACUAAGAAGCCCGGGCUAACUACGUGCCAGCAGCCGCGGUAAUCCGUAGGGGGCAAGCGUUAUCCGGAUUUACUGGGUGAAAAGGGAGCGUAGACGGCAGCGCAAGUCUGAAGUGAAAUCGCAUGGCUUAACCAUGGAACUGCUUUGGAAACUGUGCAGCUGGAGUGGAGGAGAGGUAAGCGGAAUUCGUAGUGUAGCGGUGAAAUGCGUAGAUAUUAGGAGGAACACCAGUGGCGAAGGCGGCUUACUGGACUGUAACUGACGUUGAGGCUCGAAAGCGUGGGGAGCAAACAGGAUUAGAUACCCCAGUAGUC